rnacentral:rRNA from 1 species
UACGACUACAUAUCAGGCAUAUCAAUAAGCGGAGGAAAAGAAACUAACUAGGAUUCCCUCAGUAACGGCGAGUGAAGCGGGAAGAGCUCAAAUUUGAAAUCUUCAAGGUUUUACCUUGACGAAUUGUAGUUUAAAGAAGUGUUUUCUGUUGGUGUUUUGGUAAAAGUUCUUUGGAAUAGGACAUCAUAGAGGGUGAGAAUCCCGUAUUUGACCAUUACUUCCAGCGUUGUGAUACACUUUCAAAGAGUCGGAUUGUUUGGGAAUGCAGUCCAAAAUGGGUGGUAAAUUUCAUCUAAAGCUAAAUAUUGGCGAGAGACCGAUAGCGAACAAGUACCGUGAGGGAAAGAUGAAAAGAACUUUGAAAAGAGAGUUAAACAGUACGUGAAAUUGUCAAAAGGGAAGCGUUUGACACCAGUGUUGUUUUCUCGAAAAUCAAUUAAAAAGAGUUGGAUUUUGUAUUGUUAAGACCUUAUCAGCUUACUGUACUUUUUUCUUGCUCUUUUUAAUGCACUUUUCGUUUAACAAGUCAACAUCAAUUUCUUUUGUUGUAAAAGAGUCAUUGGAAGGUGGCUUUCACUUCGGUGAAAGUGUUUAUAGCCUUUGGCUUCUGCAAUCGGAGAGAUUGAGGUCUGCAGCGUAGAUCCUUCGGGGUUAGAUACGUAGAUGCUAAGUUAUAGUUUUUCAUAGACAACUUGUUGACUAUGAUUAAUCAUGUAGCUUACUCGUUUGCGCUAUUUUACCUACGCUUAGGAUGUUGAAUCUGUGCGAGACUAC